GACGAACGCUGGCGGCGUGCUUAACACAUGCAAGUCGAACGGAGCACCCUCGAAAGAGAUUUCGAUCAAUGGAGAGGAAUGCUUAGUGGCGGACGGGUGAGUAACGCGUGAGUAACCUGCCUUUCAGAGGGGGACAACAGUUGGAAACGACUGCUAAUACCGCAUAACGUAUCUGUAUCGCAUGGUAUGGAUACCAAAGAUUUAUCGCUGAGAGAUGGACUCGCGUCUGAUUAGCUAGUUGGUAGGGUAACGGCCUACCAAGGCGACGAUCAGUAGCCGGACUGAGAGGUUGGCCGGCCACAUUGGGACUGAGAUACGGCCCAGACUCCUACGGGAGGCAGCAGUGGGGAAUAUUGGGCAAUGGGCGAAAGCCUGACCCAGCAACGCCGCGUGAAGGAAGAAGGCUUUCGGGUUGUAAACUUCUUUUGACAGGGAAGAGCAGAAGACG
rnacentral:rRNA from 1 species